UUAUAUCCCAGGACAAAUUUGCAGGCAACAAUAAGCUAGCUAAAUAGGACAAAUUAGCUAGCAAGUGCAAGCUAACUAGCUAAAUUGCCAUACAUAUUUAAUGAUUUUCGACCUGUGCCCAAAUUAAUGUCAUUGGUUCAGAGUUUGUUUUGAUAUUUUAACCUGCGUGUCGUGAUCGCGUUUGGUGAAGGGGGACAAAAUAAAUAUAUGCACGAUGGCGCACGCGCGCAGCCGGUUUGAGUUCCGUGUUCAGAUUGAGCGUCGGGGAUCGAGGGAAACCACCCCCUACUGAAGAUGCCAUCCUCCAAUUACCCAUAUGUGUAAUGUAAUGGAACUAAGUCAUGAUCAAGGGCUAGGAACUAAGUCAUGAUCAAGGGCUAGGUACGUCGGUGAUCACUGUUAUUUUGUUCUCAGCCAACACUACUUCAAUCCCCCUACCCUACUGUUUUUAAUUUAAUGAGUUUAUAAAGGGAAUUUUGAAGGUAACCGAUGGCUUAAUUAUAGCCAGUAACUACUGUACCAUACGUGGACUAAGAUGUCGCUGAUGUAGCCUACUGUUCACUGUCCUAAGAUGCUGGGAGUGUGCUGCUUACCGGCCCUUGGAGGAUCCUGGCGUGGACUGAGAACUCAAAUGCUAUGAAAUCCGGUCAGAGAAAGGGGAGAAGCCCACAGCUCUGACCCUGUGUGAUGUGUUGGCUCUGGGGGACGGUGAGACGACUGGCCUGACCCUCCCAGACGCACUGGCUGUCAUCAACGGGCACGCCCCCGAUCGACACAAGCAGGAGCCACAGGAUCCCUGGUCUCUGAUCUCUUUGAUGGUGGGACAGUUGGGCCACUGCAGCCGUGCGUCAAAGCUGUCUGGCAGACUCAUGUCCUCAUCAGACUGCACCCUGUGGAGGGAGAAGAGGAACAAGCUUGGGCUUUGAUAACUUACGUUGGCCUGCAUGUGUAGGGUGGCAUUAAUAUGAGAGCAGUAUGAAUUGGGUCCAUUUUGGUCAAUCCAUGCAGACAAACACACACACUCACAGCUCUGGCAGCCUGGGUCCCUUCAGCAGGGUUCCACACAAACUCUUCACAUAACUGAUGUCAACAUUGUGGAAGUUCUGGCCAGCCUGGGGAGAUGUAUAAAAAAAAAAAAAGGAAAGUGUCAAAGGAAAGGAAAGA